UUUUAAAUUUAAGUUUGCCCAGAACAGUUGAUUAAACAGACAAACAAACCUUGAGGACAAACAACGGACCAUCGCAAUGCCAGGACAUUGCAUGAUGUCACAGAUCACAAAAUAAGGCCACAUCUGUUCGACGGUCAUUGGGGCGGAUAAGUUAAUGAAUGUGGGAAUGUAAUGAAUACGUAAUACAUGUGAAAAUAUAACCCAUUUAGGAACAACUGACCGGCGGAGCGUUCUCAGAGUUAUCUCGACGGUGCCCCGGCCUCGCCAAUGAAGAAUACCUCACUUAAAGGUGCAGCAGAACAGAAUUUCAGGGAGGUGCUGUGAUGAACGCCAUCUAUUCAGCUGGACGGGAAGCACACUAUUAUGUAUGGAUGACGUGACAUCACGCUUGAUCCCUCGUAGCUCGCUAGAAAGCCAUCUCAAGCCUCGGGAGAUCACGAGCCAGUUUUACAGUCGGCACGCUCUCUGUCCUUCCCACACCUUUCCAGAUCAGACAGGCCCACAUAACCAUUGCGUACGAACAACUACACAACGCUCAGUCAGAGUGGGAAAUACCACGAUAUUGGUAAGAUUCAAAGCUGUACAAGAACAACAUGUCAGUGCAACAGUAUAAUAGACAAGGACUUAUGAUUUUAUUGUACAAUUGAUUUUGG
rnacentral:lncRNA from 1 species